UACGAACUGUGCAAACGUUAUUCGGAAUCACUGGGCUUAAAGGGUGCGUAGGCGGUCAUCUAAGUAGGGUGUGAAAUCCCUCGGCUUAACCGAGGAAUUGCGCCCUAAACUGGAUGGCUAGAGUGAGAUAGGGGUGUGCGGAACUUCCGGUGGAGCGGUGAAAUGUGUUGAUAUCGGAAGGAACGCCGGUGGCGAAAGCGGCACACUGGGUCUUAACUGACGCUGAGGCACGAAAGCCAGGGGAGCAAACGGG
rnacentral:rRNA from 1 species